rnacentral:SRP_RNA from 1 species
GCUGGGCGUGGUGGCUCACGCCUGUAAUCCCAGCAUUUUGGGAGGCUGAGGCGGGUGGAUCACCUGAGGUCGGGAGUUCGAGACCAGCCUGACCAACAUGGAGAAACCCCGUCUCUA